UGGGGAAUUUUGCACAAUGGGGGAAACCCUGAUGCAGCGACGCCGCGUGAUUUAGAAGGCCUUCGGGUUGUAAAAAUCUUUUGUAUGGGAAGAAAAUGACAGUACCAUACGAAUAAGGACCGGCUAAUUACGUGCCAGCAGCCGCGGUAAUACGUAAGGUCCGAGCGUUGUCCGGAAUCAUUGGGCGUAAAGGGUACGUAGGCGGAUAAGCAAGUUAGAAGUGAAAUCCUAUAGCUAAACUAUAGUAAGCUUUUAAAACUGCUCAUCUUGAGGUAUGGAAGGGAAAGUGGAAUUCCUAGUGUAGCGGUGAAAUGCGCAGAUAUUAGGAGGAAUACCGGUGGCGAAGGCGACUUUCUGGCCAUAUACUGACGCUGAGGUACGAAAGCGUGGGUAGCAAACAGG
rnacentral:rRNA from 1 species